UGCAAGUCGAGCGCUGAUUUCAGGGUAGCAAUAUUCUGAAGUUGGAGCGGCGCAAGGGUGCGUAACACGUGGGUAAACUGCCAUGAAGUCUGGAAUAACUUGCUGAAAGGCGAGCUAAUGUCGGAUGUGAAAAUUGGGAGGCAUCUUCUGAUUUUUAAAGUUGGGGACCGUAAGGCCUGACGCUUCAUGGUGAACCCGCGGCCUAUCAGCUAGUUGGUGAGGUAACGGCUCACCAAGGCUAAGACGGGUAGCUGGUCUGAGAGGACGACCAGCCACACUGGAACUGAGACACGGUCCAGACACCUACGGGUGGCAGCAGUCGAGAAUUUUUCACAAUGGGCGCAAGCCUGAUGGAGCGACGCCGCGUGGGGGAUGAAUGGCUUCGGCCCGUAAACCCCUGUCAUUCGCGAACAAAUUGGUUCAAUUAACACCUGAACCAUUGAUAGUAGCGGAAGAGGAAGGGACGGCUAACUCUGUGCCAGCAGCCGCGGUAAUACAGAGGUCCCAAGCGUUGUUCGGAUUCACUGGGCGUAAAGGGUGCGUAGGUGGUCGGGUAAGUUUGAUGUGAAAUCUCCGGGCUCAACCCGGAAACGGCAUUGAAUACUAUUCGGCUAGAGGUCUGGAGGGGGGACUGGAAUUCUCGGUGUAGCAGUGAAAUGCGUAGAUAUCGAGAGGAACACCAGUGGCGAAAGCGAGUCCCU
rnacentral:rRNA from 1 species